UUGGUUGGUUUGAAGAAAUUCUAAGGAGAUCCAAGUGAAAUCAAAGCCAAAGAAGUGGAUUAAGCUUAGUUCUAGCCUUUUUAUGAUAUUUCUUGGUGGUUUCCAAGUGGUUUGAGGUUUAGAAAAGCUAGAAGAGAUUGUUUUCGCCGAAAAGUUGCUCGGUAGAGAAAGAAAUGUGUGAAUGACAUGAGGAGAACUGAAGCAUGGUCCUGACCCUGAUUUGUACAUAUGAACAUAUCGACCUUUUGUGGGUUAUUUCAGUUAUCAGUGAGAUGUUUGUAAUAAAGUGUGAAGUUAUGUUUUGAAAAUAAAUUGGGUUAUUUAAUUCUUAUGUAUAAUAUGUUUGAGACACACUUUAUGUUUAAUGUAAAUAAUGUGAAAUAAGUUUUCAAGUUUAAAAAAAAAAAAAAAUGUCCAGACUUCCGCAGUAAUAAAUUAUGAUAUAGUUUUAAAACGUAACACCUCAAAUAUGGUUUUAACUAAAAUAAGUGAGGGU